rnacentral:rRNA from 1 species
CCUACGGGAGGCAGCAGUAGGGAAUAUUGGUUAAUGGAUGCAAGUCUGAACCAGCCAUGCCGCGUGCAGGAAGACGGCCUUCUGGGUUGUAAACUGCUUUAGCCUGGGGAUAAAAUAGCUAUGCGUAGCGAAUUGAAAGUACCAGGAUAAUAAGCUACGGCUAACUACGUGCCAGCAGCCGCGGUAAU